AUUGAACGCUGGCGGCAGGCCUAACACAUGCAAGUCGAACGGUAACAGGAAGACGCCUGCUUCUUUGCUGACGAGUGGCGGACGGGUGAGUAAUGUCUGGGAAACUGCCUGAUGGAGGGGGAUAACUACUGGAAACGGUAGCUAAUACCGCAUAACGUCGCAAGACCAAAGAGGGGGACCUUCGGGCCUCUUGCCAUCGGAUGUGCCCAGAUGGGAUUAGCUAGUAGGUGGGGUAACGGCUCACCUAGGCGACGAUCCCUAGCUGGUCUGAGAGGAUGACCAGCCACACUGGAACUGAGACACGGUCCAGACUCCUACGGGAGGCAGCAGUGGGGAAUAUUGCACAAUGGGCGCAAGCCUGAUGCAGCCAUGCCGCGUGUAUGAAGAAGGCCUUCGGGUUGUAAAGUACUUUCAGCGGGGAGGAAGGGAGUAAAGUUAAUACCUUUGCUCAUUGACGUUACCCGCAGAAGAAGCACCGGCUAACUCCGUG
rnacentral:rRNA from 1 species